CCACACCUAAAAACUUUCCACGUGAACCGUUUCAACCCAAUAGUUGGGGGUCUUAUUUGGCGGCGGCUGCUGGCUUAAUUGUUGGCGGCUGCUGCUGAGUGAGCCCUAUCAAAAAAAGGCGAACGUUUGGGCUUCGGCCUGAUUUAGUAGUCUUUUUUUCUUUUAAACCCAUUCCUUAAUACUGAAUAUACUGUGGGGACGAAAGUCUCUGCUUUUAACUAGAUAGCAACUUUCAGCAGUGGAUGUCUAGGCUCGCACAUCGAUGAAGAACGCUGCGAACUGCGAUACGUAAUGCGAAUUGCAGGAUUCAGUGAGUCAUCGAAAUUUUGAACGCAUAUUGCACUUCCGGGUUAGUCCUGGAAGUAUGCCUGUAUCAGUGUCCGUACAUUAAACUUGACUUUCUUCCUUCCGUGUAGUCGGUGGAGGAGAUGUCAGAUGUGAAGUGUCUUGCGAUUGGUCUUCGGACCGGCUGCGAGUCCUUUUAAAUGUACUAAACUGAACUUCUCUUUGCUCGAAAAGUGGUGGCGUAGCUGGUUGUGAAGGCUGCUAUUGUGGCAAAUUGGCGACUGGUUUGUCUGCUGCGGCGUUAAUGGAAGAGUGUUCGAUUCGUGGUAUGGUUGGCUUCGGCUGAACAAUGCACUUAUUGGACGUUUUUCCUGCUGUGGCGUGAUGGACUGGUGAACCAUAGCUCGGUGGCUUGGCUUUUGAAUUGGCUUUGCUGUUGCGAAGUAGGGUGGCAGCUUCGGUUGUCGAGGGUCGAUCCAUUUGGGAACCUUAAUGUGUACUUCGGUAUGCAUCUCAA
rnacentral:rRNA from 1 species